CACAAACAGUUUAUAAAAAGCAUUCAAACACAAGUACAUAUGCAAACCAGCAGCAAAUGUUUGACAAAGUCUGACACACACUGGGAAAUGCACCAUUACGAACAUAAUUUAAAACCAGACAAAUAUAGAACAACUACGACACAAGACCUAAACAUCUAACCAAACUACCAAAUGUAAACAUCUAACCAGGCAGAUAAUCCACUACCCAUCAAAUGAAAAA
rnacentral:lncRNA from 1 species